rnacentral:ncRNA from 1 species
GACUUAGUCCUAACCUUACUGUUGGUUGUUGCUAGGAAUAUACAUGCAAGUAUCCGCGCCCCAGUGUGUAUGCCCUCAGUACCUGUCCCCAGGUCAAUAGGAGCGGGUAUCAGGCUCACCCCCCCAACCGUAGCCCAAGACGCCUUGCACUUGCCACGCCCCCACGGGUACUCAGCAGUAAUUAAUAUUAAGCAAUGAGUGAAAACUUGACUUAGCCAUAGCAACUCAGGGUCGGUAAAUCUUGUGCCAGCAACCGCGGUUAUACAAGAGACCCAAAUCAACUUUAUAACGGCGUAAAGCGUGGUUACAUGCUAUCAAAGUAACUAAGACUAAAAGGCAACUGAGCUGUCACAAGCCCAAGAUGCUCAUAAGUCCACCUCAAAAGAAGGUCUUAGACUAACGAUUAAUUGAAGCCCACGAAAGCCAGGGCCCAAACUGGGAUUAGAUACCCCACUAUGCCUGGCCCUAAAUCUUGGUGCUUUAAUCUACUCAAGCACCCGCCCGAGAACUACGAGCACAAACGCUUAAAACUCUAAGGACUUGGCGGUGCCCCAAACCCACCUAGAGGAGCCUGUUCUAUAAUCGAUGAUCCACGAUAUACCCGACCAUUCCUUGCCAAUCAGCCUAUAUACCGCCGUCGCCAGCCCACCCAUCUGAAGGUUCAACAGUGAGCGCAAUAGCCUAACCCGCUAGCAAGACAGGUCAAGGUGUAGCCUAUGGAAUGGAGGUAAUGGGCUACAUUUUCUAGUAUAGAACAUCACGGCAAAGGGAUGUGAAAUCAUCUCUCGAAGGCGGAUUUAGCAGUAAAGUGGGACCAUCGAGCCCUCUUUAAGCCGGCUCUGGGGCACGUACAUACCGCCCGUCACCCUCCUCAAAGGCGCCCCUUGUCCCAUAACUAAUAAGCCACCCAGCCAAAGAUGAGGUAAGUCGUAACAAGGUAAGUGUACCGGAAGGUGUACUUAGACUA